rnacentral:lncRNA from 1 species
UUUUUUUUUUUUCUUUUUUGCCACACAGGCAGUAUGUGGAAGUUCCUGGGCCAGGGAUUGAAUCUACACCACAUAGCAGCAACCAGAGCCACAGCAGUGAGAAUGCAGGAGCCUCAGUCCGCUAGGCCAUCAGAGAACCCCAACUGUAUUAUUUUUAAUGGAACUUAAUAUACAUCGACAGAAGACUAACUAAAUUAUGAUAAUCCAAACAGGCAAACAAAAUACAUCCAUUAAGAUAAUGAAUGAUUUUAACUUCCUUUUUGCUUAUUGUCUCUUUUCUGGUUUUCACUCGAAGAAAUCAUGCAUUUCUUAUGUAAAUUUUUACAUUAAUAAGCAAUUUUUUGGGCCACUCCCAGAGGCAUGCUAAAGUUCCUGGGCCAGGGAUUGAACACACACCACAGCAGCGACCCAAGCCAUUGCAGUGACAAUGCUGGAUCCUUAACCCACUGAGUCAUAUGGUAAUUCCUAACAAAUACUUUUAUAUGAUAAAAAGAUAAUUAUAAAAAUAAUUAUAAAAAUUAAAAGGGAGGAGUUCCCAUUGUGGCUCCAUGGAAAUGAAUGUGACUAGCAUCCAUGAAGACGUGGGUUCGAUUCCUGGCCUUGCUCAGUAGGUUAGGGAUCUGGCAUUGCUGUGAGCUGUGGUGUAGGUCACAAACACGGCUGGGUCCCACAUUGCUCUGGCUGUAGCAUAGGCCGGCAGUUGCAGCUCUGGUUCAACUCCUAGCCUGGGAACUUCCAUAUGCUGCAUCUGCAGCCCUAAAAAGACAAAAUAAACAAAUAAAAGGGGAAUUAGAGAAGUCUAAUGAGCAAGAACUAAUAUAUUUACUAUUUAAAGAACCUAUUCUAUUCACAAGAAAAACACUAAAAUUCUAGUAAUAAUGAACAAAAGAAAAAUAAAAGGAAACAAGCCUAUAAGAAAAAGUCUCAAUAAUCAAAUAAGUGGAAAACAAGACACCAAGCUUAUCCUUUCAUUAGAGUGGAAAAGGGUUUUUGUAAAGGGUUUUUUUUUGUCCUUUUGCCUUUUCUAGGGCCACUCCCACAGCAUAUGGAGGUUCCCAAGCUAGGGGUCUAACUGGAGCUAGUCGGAUUCAUUAACCACUGAGCCACAAUGGGAACUCCCAAAAAUGUUUUUGUUUUGUUUUUUUGUUUUUUAAAUAUAUAUAGGAGUCCCCAUUGUGACGCAGCGGAAAUGAAUCUGACUAGUAACCACGAGGUUGCCGGUUUGAUCCCUGGCCUUGCUCAGUGGGUUAAGGAUCUGGUGUUGCCAUGAGCUGUGGUGUAGGUCACAGAAGUAGCUUGGUUUCUGCGUUGCUGUGACCAUGGCGUAGGCCAGCAGCUGUAGCUCUGAUUACACCCCUAGCCUGGGAACCUCCAUAUGCCUCGGGGGAGACCCUAAAAAGCAAAAAAAAAAAAAAUUAUAUAUACACACACACACACAAUAUUAAUAGAAUAUGGAAUAACAGGCAUUCUCAAAUCCCAUCAAACUAUUUAAUCCAGCAUUUUCUCUUCUAGGACUCUAGCCAAAAAUACUCCUAACUAUGAAAACAACUUUUCAGCAGAACAUCCUUUACAAUGUUCCUUGUAAAGGAAAAUAAUGGAACUACAGUAGAAUAUUACUUGAGGAUUUAAACACUAGAAGAAUCCAAACACUGCUGAUCCUUUUCAGAAAGAUUUUAUCCAUUUUGAUACCGAAUGACUUACUAGAAUGCAAGGCAUGUAGUGGUGUGAAUAACUGCCAGGCCAACUCGUGGAAUCCUGAAAAGGUUGGUACCAGUGACAGGAACACAUUCAAAAGGACUGCCAGAGGCUAUUUUACGUUGUGAAAACAUCAUUCUUUUCAUAGGAUAAAGGUUAUUUACCCCCAAAAAGAGGAUAUUCCAGAUAGGAAAACUUAAGGAAGUGCAUGAAAGAGCAAGCAGAGGAUGACACAGAUCCUUUACACAAAGAGUUGUUGCACCAUUUACUAUUUCAAUGUCUGCAGAAGCUUACCACAAACCCUGGUGCAUUCCUGACAUUCCUAGAUGCAGAAUCAUACACAUCUCAAAAGAAAUAAACUUUGUACAUAUUAAUUUGCAAUGCAUGAUGCUGUUAGGCCAUUUUAAGGAAAUAAGUCUCAUUUCUACUAGAAUAACUAAUUAGAAAAUACCUAAUUAUCUUAGAUUCCUUUUGAAAUAGGCAGAAUUAAAUAAAAAUUGAGAAAAGAAUUAAAUGAGGCAGUAUAAAUUUAUCCAUGGCAGAGGUGGGGGACCACAAAAAUAUUAAUAGUUCAUUCAUUCAAAUUCAUCAACACAUAUAAAUUGAACACCUGUUACAUACUAGGCACUGUGUUCAUGUUGAGAAAUAUAAAUUGGUCAGGGUCACUGUUAUUCUGGAACUUACAUUCUAGGAGGGGUGAAAGACCAAUUCUCAAAUAAGGGUAUGUGUGGCAGUGACCUCCCCCGCCAUCCGCAACUUUUCCCCUUGUUUUUCUUCUAUUUACUAUCAACUAUUCUCAUGAAUGUGCACUUUAAAAAUACUCAUUUUUGGAGUCCCCGUCGUGGCUCAGGGGUUAACGAAUCCAACUAGGAACCAUGAGGUUGUGGGUUCGAUCCCUGGCCUUGCUCAGUGGGUAAAGCAUCCGGCAUUGCCCGUGAGCUGUGGUGUAGUUUGCAGAUGCGGCUCAGAUCCCGCGUUGCUGUGGCUGUGGCAUAGGCCAGCGGCCAGUGGCUACAGCUCCGAUCAGACUCCUAGGCUGGGAACCUCCUUAUGCUGCGGGAGCGGCUCAAGAAAAAAAAAAAAAAAAAAAAAAAGAG